CGCUGAACAAGGAUCACUUUUAAUGGGCUGAAUACAUACAACACACAGCUGACAACAAAGAUGUUCGACUAACCUAACACGAGAGGGAAACAGCAACAGCACACAGGACACUGGGAUUGCUCAGUUCGGUCCCCAGACAGAGGGAUGGGAGCAGCACCCGAGGGGCAUCUCUGGAAGAUGGAAUUAAGCCUCGGCGUGUUUGGUUUGGCCUCCCGUGUCAGCGACAUGAAAGCCUCGGCUAUAAAUACACCCCGUGUCUCCGAAGGCUUCGUGGCGUUUUCCUGCCCGUGC